GUCUCGGUAGCUCAGUUGGUAGAGCAGGGGAUUGAAAAUCCUCGUGUCGACGGUUCGAAUCCGUCCCUUGGCACCA
rnacentral:tRNA from 1 species